GGUCGUGACUCAGUGGUAGAGCAUCUACUUUGCAUGCAGAAGGUUCCAUGUUCAAUCCCAGGUAGGGCUA